UGUCACUGUGUCCCUGUCACUGCUCCUUUAGUGCUUCCCCCUGCUCUGGGGAUGGAGCAGCCUCAGGAUUCUCCCUGGGCUCCAGUGAGCAACCCCCGAGUGCCAGCGAGGCUCAGGUUCAUUCCUGCAGUGUUUGACACUUUUCCAGCCCCUUUUUCCCUUUUUCCAGGUGCACAGGAGCCAGCAAUGCCUCUGGAAGAGGAAACACCUCAGGGAAACACCUUGCACGAGGAAUGAGGAUCGUGAAGGGUCAGUGGAUCCAAAGGAUCCAGGACCCAGCACAUGGCACCAGGACCCGGACCCAGGCACCAGCACCAGGACCCUGAACCCUAAAAUUUGGCACCCACCCCUAUGUGGCACCCUGCACCUCAACCUUGCUACCCUACAGCCCAAAACUGGGUCCCUGCACCAAACUUUGGGUCCUUGCACCCCAAAACUGGAUCCCUGCACUACCUGGGACCCAGCACCACCCCAGGCUGUGCCCCAGAGGUGCCCCCAGGAUUCCCUCCCUGGUUCUGUGACAUCACAAGGGAGCACCUGGCACUCGGACAAGCGGAAAAUCCCCCGGGAUGAAGUCCUGGCUGUGACCAUUCAGGGAUUUGGGAACCAUUUCUCCAGCAAUCUCCUGCUGAAGGGUCAGUUCUGUGUCCCUUGGUGCCAUCCACAUGUCCAGGAGCCCUGAGGUUGGCAGAGACACCCAUGGAGCCUUGCAAACAUUUGGGGCUUAAUUAAAAACUGUAUAAAAAUGGGUUUGUGGCACUGUCCUGCUUGUGAAACUUAAAAAGAAAAUAAUAAAUUCUGAACUUCAGCCA
rnacentral:lncRNA from 1 species